GACUUAGUAGGUAAAUCCAUUAAGUUAUAUCUGAGGUAUGAUAUACAGUCGUAAGAUGAAUGCGCAAAUCCCACGCUGCCAAGAAAAGCUUCUAACGUUAAUAUAUGACUGCCCGUACUGUAAACCGACACAGGUGGUCAGGAUGAGAAAUCUAAGGCGGACAGGCUAACUCUCGUUAAGGAACUCUGCAAAAUAACCUCGUAACUUCGGGAGAAGAGGAGCCCUUGGGUGUUAGUAUCCAUGCGAUACAAAGCGCUCGAGGGUCGCAGUGAAGAGGCUCAAGCAACUGUUUAACAAAAACACAGGUCUAUGCUAAGCUGGAAGGCGAUGUAUAUGGGCUGACACCUGCCCAGUGCUGGAAGGUUAAGAGGAGGAGUGAGAGCUCCGAAUUGAAGCCCCAGUGAACGGCGGCCGUAACUAUAACGGUCCUAAGGUAGCGAAAUUCCUUGUCGGGUAAGUUCCGACCUGCACGAAUGGUGUAAUGAUUUGAGCGCUGUCUUGACGGGAGGCCUGGUGAAAUUGUAUUACCGGUGAAGAUACCGGUUACCUACAGUAGGACGGAAAGACCCCAUGGAGCUUUACUGUAGCUUGGUAUUGGGUUUUGGCAUUGCAUGUAUAGGAUAGUUGGGAGACUAUGAUGAUAUGGCGCUAGCUGUAUCGGAGUCAUCGGUGGAAUACCAACCAUUCAAUGCUGAAAUUCUAAUCUGUGGUUUGUAGCCACGGAGACAGUGCUAGGUGGGCAGUUUGACUGGGGCGGUCGCCUCCGAAAGAGUAACGGAGGCGUUCAAAGGUUCUCUCAGGUUGGAUGGAAAUCAACCAUAGAGUGCAAUGGCAUAAGAGAGCUUGACUGCAAGACUGACGGGUCGAGCAGAUGCGAAAGCAGGACAUAGUGAUCCGGCGAUUCCGAAUGGAAGGGUCGUCGCUCAACGGAUAAAAGCUACCCUGGGGAUAACAGGCUGAUCCUACCCGAGAGUCCAUAUCGACGGUAGGGUUUGGCACCUCGAUGUCGGCUCAUCGCAUCCUGGGGCUGGAGAAGGUCCCAAGGGUUGGGCUGUUCGCCCAUUAAAGCGGUACGUGAGCUGGGUUCAGAACGUCGUGAGACAGUUCGGUCCCUAUCCACUGUAGGCGUUAGAAUAUUGAGAAGACCUGUCCUUAGUACGAGAGGACCGGGAUGGACAAACCUCUGAUGUACCAGUUGUCACGCCAGUGGCACAGCUGGGUAGUCACGUUUGGAAUAGAUAACCGCUGAAAGCAUCUAAGCGGGAAACUAACUUCAAGAUAAGUAUUCUUUAAGAUACCUUCGAGCCUAGGAGGUUGAUAGGUUGGGGGUGUAAGUACAGCAAUGUAUUUAGCUGACCAAUACUAAUUAUCGAAGUUUUAAUC
rnacentral:rRNA from 1 species